CAUGCAAGUCGAGCGGUAGCACAGAGAGCUUGCUCUCGGGUGACGAGCGGCGGACGGGUGAGUAAUGUCUGGGAAACUGCCUGAUGGAGGGGGAUAACUACUGGAAACGGUAGCUAAUACCGCAUAAUGUCGCAAGACCAAAGUGGGGGACCUUCGGGCCUCAUGCCAUCAGAUGUGCCCAGAUGGGAUUAGCUAGUAGGUGGGGUAACGGCUCACCUAGGCGACGAUCCCUAGCUGGUCUGAGAGGAUGACCAGCCACACUGGAACUGAGACACGGUCCAGACUCCUACGGGAGGCAGCAGUGGGGAAUAUUGCACAAUGGGCGCAAGCCUGAUGCAGCCAUGCCGCGUGUGUGAAGAAGGCCUUCGGGUUGUAAAGCACUUUCAGCGGGGAGGAAGGCGGUGAGGUUAAUAACCUCAUCGAUUGACGUUACCCGCAGAAGAAGCACCGGCUAACUCCGUGCCAGCAGCCGCGGUAAUACGGAGGGUGCAAGCGUUAAUCGGAAUUACUGGGCGUAAAGCGCACGCAGGCGGUCUGUCAAGUCGGA
rnacentral:rRNA from 1 species